GGCGAGGGCUCCUCCGGCCUGAUGUAAUGAGGAAGCAGAAGCUCAGAGAAGUCAGCAUGGGCGGUGGUCAAUGAGUCUGGACACAGGCUAAAGGGCCCUCUGGAGAUGAAGACUCCAAAUGUGUCCUCAGGUCUCUUGCCUGGGCGUAAAGAACAGGACCUAAAGGCACCACCUGAGGUAGCAAGGUAUGGCUCCCAAAGACUUCUGGGGGUUCUGAGAUCAUCAGUGAGGCCUCUAAGGCCUGCCUGGCCCAUAGCUCCAGCCACACCCAUGGCCACUGCCCACAAUCCAACCAUAUGCUCUUUCUCCUCUGCAUUGCCCCCAGGCCUUCCAGCAUGUUUUGCCUUCUGCCUGGGACACUCUUCCUACCCUCCUCCCCGCAGUGCCCUUCGCUGAUCUAUCUCCUACUAGACCUUUAGACUCUUGCUUACAUGCCACCUCCUCCAGGAAGCCCUCCCUAACCACCAUGCCACAACCUGUGCAAUCACCACCAAGAAUAAGAUCAGCCCAGUGGCCACGGCAGAGUGGAGCAGUGUCAGGGAGGAAUGUCAGGCAACUGGGUGCAGACAAAGAUGGUCUAGCAUCGGGAUCCAUGUGCACGCAGUGCCACAACCUAGGCUGCGGACACCCAGGAAGGAGGACAACAUCUGCUCUCAGGACAGAGUGAGGUUUCAGCAGGAGACUAUCUUUAUGUCAUCUGGAUAGGGAAGGGCCUCUUAAAUGUGACAGGAAAUAGAGCUAUGUGUCUAAAAGAUGAAUAAAUUUGACAACAAUACAAUACAGAAUUACUGUGAAUUAAGACAAAUCACUCAAAGAUGAUACUUAACCUACUUACAAAAGAAAGGGCUCAAUCUUAAAAACAGGCAAAAAAAAUAAUAACUUUAAACAGGUGUUUCAUAAGCGAGCAAACAAAAAUAAUGUAUAAAUAUAUGAAAAGAUGCUCAACCUCCCUCACCUUUUAUCAUGGCAACAUAAAUUAAAAUCAGAGUAAGACACCAUUCCACAUGAAAAUCUUAAAAGUAAAAACAAUACCAGGUGUUGGUGAGGUUGGGGAGUUUCGAGAACUCUUGUACACUGCAGACAGCAGUCAAAAUAGGUAGUAAUGUUUUGGAAAACAGUUUGGAAUAAACUAAUAAAGUGAAACAUGCAAAGACCCAACAGUCCAGCAAUUCUGCUCCUUGAGAGAGACCCUCAAAAACUUCUUGCACACAAACACAGAAAGCAAGAAUCUUCUUAUCAGCAUCAUUUGUAAUAGCAAAAACCUGGGAACAACUCAAAUGCCCACAGUGACAAAAUGGAUAAUAAAUCAGGUGAUGACUUUGCAGGAAUAAAAAUGAUUGAAUACUCCCACCGGCAUCAAAUGAACAGAUCUCAAAGACCUAACGUUGAAUGAAAAAAACCAUCACCAAGGUGUACAGAAGUGUAUCUCCACAUAUUUAAGGUUCACCAAGAGGCCAAGCCAAGCAAUAGGUAUGUUAGGAUCCAUACUUGUAUGAUAAACUGUAAAGAAAAGCAAGAACU